rnacentral:lncRNA from 10 species
GGGGAGCCGGUGUGUGAAGCCGGCACCACGUUAGCGGAACCGAGUUAUUGAAGGGCCCCACCUGGGUGGAGCCGUGAGUGUGAGCAGCUUCCGCUUCCCCCGGAAGCUGGCGUCGUGCAGGAACCCUCACCCGCCCGAGCGGGGCCCUGGGCCUCCGGGUCACUCUCUGUGGCGGGGUCUGGCUGCGCGUCAGACGGCCUCCUCCAAUGCCCGCAGUUGCUGUCGCCCCCAGGCCUGGACCGGGGAGUGAGGGGUGGGCCUGACCGGCCCCUGAGCUCCCGUCAGCCCCCCACGCGAGCCCGUCCUGUGCUGGGGGCAGGGAGAUGGGCCGGUGGGAGAGGAGACCGCAUCCAGCCCUCCCUGGCCACCUGCAGGGUCCCCACCGUGGCGGCUGCUUUACUGCUAACUCCUCCCGGGGACCCCAAGUCCCCAUCGCUCUCGGGGGUCCCCCUCAUCCGAACCGCCUCGGAGGAGGGCCGCAUCUCACGCGGAGCACCCCUCCACGCCUGUGACCCUGGACUUGCUCUCCCGCCCCCGCCCGGGCCUCAGGGCUCAGGAGGCCGUGAUGAAGCCAGCAGGUGAACUGCACCCUGGAGCCUCCGACGGGGCGGCCACGGGCAGCGAAGAACCCGGAAAAACAGUACCCUUCUGAGGUUAAUCCGCGUUGAUAGAAGCAGGUGUGGUUCAUCUGGAAUCUGUUGGUGUGAACUGCGCGGCGGCGUCCCCCACCAGGCACCACAGCGGGCGCCUCUUGGUAGCAGCCACCGGCCUCUUCUGGGACUCGCCGGAGGGUUUCCACGUCGCCCGCUCCGACGGGGCUGUUCAUCUCCCCUUGAUCUGUGGGACUCCCCGUCCGUCUCAGGUUGCAUUCCAUGGGCCCGGGAGCCUUUUUUGGACAGACGCCGUGGUGUGACUCCAGCUGAGCUGCCCCCUUGGCCAGGGCCACCAGAGGCAGCCCCCUGCCUCCAGAUCAAGAGCCCACCCACCCUCACGGGUGGCCAGGAGCUGGCCCCUGGCCUGUGGGCCGGCCUGGCUGCCUUGGUCAUGGCAGGAAGGAUCCAUCACUGCUGCCUGAUGGAUGAUCUGAGCCGCCUCCUGCCCGCGCCCCGUGCUGUUUCAGCUGCAGAAAAAUGUUUAUCACUCGGCACAGCAGCGACCCUCCCUCCCUGCCUGCCUCCCUCCCUGCCUGCCUCCCUCCCUCCCUCCCUCCCUCCCUCCUUCCUUC